rnacentral:lncRNA from 1 species
AUGUGGGGGUCGGGACAGCGUGGGGCCGCACCCCAGGACUGGGGGCGCAGCAGUCGGGCGCGCUCGUCGCUCGGGGCGCGCACAACCUGCGGGGCCCGGAGGCGAGGAGGGGCCCCGCCCGCGCCCUCCGGCUCCCACGCCCGGCGCGCGGCGCCCCCUCCCCCGGGCGGCGCCGAUUGGCUGCGGCGGCGGCUGGAGCCCGCCCCGCGCGGCCGGCUGGGGGCGCCGCGGGCCAGAGCGAGCUGCGCCGCCACCGCCGCCGCCACCGCUGCCGCCGCCGCCGGGAGCACCGCGCGCCUCGGGCUCCGCGCGCCGCCAGCUCCCGGCCCGCCCGCCUGCCGGCCCCGCCGCGCCCGCCAGCCCCGCCGCGGAGCCCCGGCCCGACCCCGGGCCGCCGCCACCACGCCGCGCGCCGUACUCCGCGUCAAGAAUGGGGCGGCCAAGCUGCCCAAGCCGGCCGCCGCCGCCGCCGCCGCGGCCGAGGCGCCCGGCGCCGGCGCGGGCAUGGAGCGCUCGCAGAGCCGCCUCAGCCUGUCCGCCUCCUUCGAGGCGCUCGCCAUCUACUUCCCGUGCAUGAACUCCUUCGACGACGAGGACGCGGGGGACAGCCGGAGGUUGAAGGGGGCCAUCCAGAGAAGCACGGAGACCGGCCUGGCAGUGGAGAUGCCCAGCCGGACCCUGCGCCAGGCCAGCCACGAGUCCAUCGAGGACAGCAUGAACAGCUACGGCUCCGAGGGCAACCUUAACUAUGGGGGAGUUUGUCUGGCAUCGGAUGCCCAGUUCAGUGACUUCCUGGGCAGCAUGGGGCCGGCACAGUUUGUGGGCCGCCAGACCCUGGCCACCACACCGAUGGGUGAUCGUGUGGGGGAACUACGGGCGGAUGGAACGGAAGCAGUUCAUGGGCGUGGCCCGCGUGCUGCUGGAGGAGCUGGACUUGACCACCCUGGCCGUGGGCUGGUACAAGCUCUUCCCCACCUCCUCCAUGGUGGACCCAGCCACAGGCCCCCUGCUCCGGCAGGCGUCCCAGCUGUCCCUCGAGAGCACCGUGGGGCCCUGCGGCGAGCGAUCUUAGUGCCGGGGAGGGGGAGGGGCUUCCCGAGAUGGUCCGGAGACCCAACCUGGGACCCCAGGCCCCGGGGUAUAUUGAACAGAGGAGGCCGGGGUUCUCCCCCACCCAGUGGGGAAGCUGAAUGGGGAGACUUGACCCCCCAGGGCCCCUCCUCACCCCUUUUUUGCCUCCUAUUCCCCGAGACCUUCCCUCUCCCGAUGGGAUUGGCUGCACUUUUGACUUGGCCGGUUCUUGACCUGGUGGAUGUGUCUGCAGUCCGGAGAAAGGAAAGAUCGAGGCGGCAGAGCACACCAUCCUCCUGCCCCCGACUCUGUCCGACCGCACCCCCUUUUUGCCUCCUUGGAAGCUCGCUGCCCGGAGUCACGUCCAGAACCCAGCGGCCAUCUCCAUGGUGCCAAUUACCAGCAAGUGUCUUUCCUGCGGCACCGGGUUCAGGCAGCUACUCCUGCCCCCCGAGCCUACGGGGCAGCUUUGCAAGGAUCCGGCGCCAGCUCCGGGGGCCCCGCACCCCCGGCUUGAAGAGGAGCUCAGGCCUCCCUCCGCCUGCCCAUGGAAGGAGCUCUGCUGCCUCCUGUUCGAGUACAUCUGUCUGUCCCCUGCCUGUUUCUCUUUUGGCGGCUCUAGGACAUGGGGUCCAGCAGGGACCAGGGGAAAGGAAAGGGGUGCCCAGGCCUGGCAGGGACCCCCAGGGCACCUGGCUCUGUGGGGUUGUAGGAAGCUAG